rnacentral:tRNA from 1 species
GGCUUGUGGCCCAAGUGGUAGAGUGCUCGCCUAGCACGUGUGAGACCCUGGGUUCGAUCCUCAGCGCCA